CUUUCUCCUGGACCCCCUACACCCGCUGCCCCGGGAACACGUGGCCGGGAACAGUGACCCCCAGCUCCCACUCCGGGCUCCGCUGAGCUGGGCUGGGCCAGGCCAGGCCAGGCCGGCUUGGGGCUCUCCAGGGUCUUGGCCAACAGUCCUGUGGACAGCCCGGAAAGGCCUGCCUGUCCGGCUGGCCCAGCCUCUCAGCGGAAAACAAAGGCGCUUCAGACCCGGCUGGCUUCUGUCCUGCCUGAGAGGCACUGUGAGGGCGAGGGUCCAGAAUCCUGCCCACCCUCACACCAGGCUGCCCCCACUGCUCAUACGUGAGUAGAACCCAGGCUGGGACGUCGGAGCACAUUGAGGAGGCCGCCCCAGAGCCCAUGCAGCCAGGCCGAGAAGGUGAGCUCCCUGGGUAAGGACUGGCACAAGUUCUGCCUCAAGUGCGAGCGCUGCAGCAAGACGCUGACGCCCGGGGGCCACGCCGAGCAUGACGGGAAGCCGUUCUGCCACAAGCCGUGCUACGCCACCCUGUUCGGACCCAAAGGCGUGAACAUCGGGGGCGCGGGCUCCUACAUCUACGAGAAGCCCCU
rnacentral:sRNA from 1 species